AUUGAACGCUGGCGGCAGGCCUAACACAUGCAAGUCGAACGAGUGGCGGACGGGUGAGUAAUGUCUGGGAAACUGCCCGAUGGAGGGGGAUAACUACUGGAAACGGUAGCUAAUACCGCAUACCAUCGGAUGUGCCCAGAUGGGAUUAGCUAGUAGGUGGGGUAACGGCUCACCUAGGCGACGAUCCCUAGCUGGUCUGAGAGGAUGAACAGCCACACUGGAACGGAGAAACGGCCCAGACUCCUACGGGAGGCAGCAGUGGGGAAUAUUGCACAAUGGGCGCAAGCCUGAUGCAGCCAUGCCGCGUGUAUGAAGAAGGCCUUCGGGUUGUAAAGUACUUUCAGCGAGGAGGCGUUACCCGCAGAAGAAGCACCGGCUAACUCCGUGCCAGCAGCCGCGGUAAUAC
rnacentral:rRNA from 1 species